rnacentral:rRNA from 1 species
GACAGAGGGUGCAAACGUUGCUCGGAAUUACUGGGCGUAAAGCGCGUGUAGGCGGCCAUGCAAGUCGGAUGUGAAAGCCCUCGGCUCAACCGGGGAAGUGCACUCGAAACUGCAAGGCUAGAGUCUCGGAGAGGAUCGUGGAAUUCUCGGUGUAGAGGUGAAAUUCGUAGAUAUCGAGAGGAACACCGGUGGCGAAGGCGGCGAUCUGGACGAUGACUGACGCUGAGACGCGAAAGCGUGGGGAGCAAACAGG